ensembl:lncRNA
GUGUGAGUGUGUGUGAGAGUGUGUGUGUGUGAGAGUGUGUGUGUGAGUGUGUGUGUGAGUGUGUGUGUGAGUGUGUGUGUGAGUGUGUGUGAGAGUGUGUGUGAGUGUGUGUGUGAGAGUGUGUGUGAGAGUGUGUGAGAGUGUGUGAGUGUGUGAGAGUGUGUGAGAGUGUGUGAGAGUGUGUGUGAGAGAGUGUGAGAGAGUGUGUGAGAGAGUGUGUGUGUGAGUGUGUGUGAGAGUGUGUGUGAGAGUGUGUGUGAGAGUGUGUGUGAGAGUGUGUGAGAGUGUGUGAGUGUGUGAGAGUGUGUGAGAGUGUGUGUGUGUGAGAGUGUGUGUGAGAGUGUGUGUGAGAGUGUGUGAGAGUGUGUGAGUGUGUGAGAGUGUGUGAGAGUGUGUGAGAGUGUGUGUGAGAGAGUGUGAGAGAGUGUGUGAGAGAGUGUGUGUGUGAGUGUGUUUGAGAGUGUGUGUGAGAGUGUGUGAGAGAGUGUGUGUGAGAGUGUGUGAGAGAGUGUGUGUGAGAGUGUGUGUGAGAGUGUGUGAGAGUGUGUGUGAGAGUGUGUGAGAGUGUGUGAGAGUGUGUGAGAGUGUGUGACGAUGUGUGUGAGAGUGUGUGUGAGAGUGUGUGUGAGAGUGUGUGUGAGA